rnacentral:rRNA from 1 species
UCCAGACUCCUACGGGAGGCAGCAGUGGGGAAUCUUCCGCAAUGGGCGAAAGCCUGACGGAGCAACGCCGCGUGAUCGAAUGAAGGCCUUCGGGUUGUAAAGAUCUGUUGACAGGGACGAAUAAGCAAUGCGAAUAGUUUUGUGUAUGACGGUACCUGUUUAGAAAGCUCCGGCUAACUACGUGCCAGCAGCCGCGGUAAUACGUAGGUGGCGAGCGUUGUCCGGAAUUACUGGGUGUAAAGGGAGCGUAGGCGGGAGAGCAAGUCGACUGUGAAAUCUAUGGGCUUAACCCAUAGCUGCGAUCGAAACUGUUCAUCUUGAGUGAAGUAGAGGCAGGCGGAAUUCCUAGUGUAGCGGUGAAAUGCGUAAAUAUUAGGAGGAACACCAGUGGCGAAGGCGGCCUGCUGGGCUUUAACUGACGCUGAGGCUCGAAAGCGUGGGGAGCAAACAGGAUUAGAUACCCCUGUAUA